CACUGCCUGACUCAAGGCAGCUGCAGCAGCGCUGGGCGAAGCUGCAGCUCAAGCAGACACGUAGAGAGAACAGGAGCGUUGUGUGUUUGAGAGAGUAGCUGUGGAGAAGAGAUUAAGCUCGGGAUGGCCAUCAAGGCAAAGAAAAAGAAUGAAAUGGAGGAAGACCUGGUUUCUGAGCCAGUACUGUGCUUUUGCUCAGCAGAUAUUUAGCAGAUUAAAAGGACAGCUGGAUUCUUGAAUAUUGGGAGAGAAUGGAUGGACAGCUGGGAGGUAACAAAGCCCCCAGG